UUUGCUUACUUGUGGUUUGAAACACAAGUUGGCUUGCAAUAAAAAUCAGAACCAAGUACGAUAGAAAUUCACUAUCUGGCAUCACUGGUUUCUUGGCUUUAUGCAUGUUAAAUCUGGUAUUUCUAAUAACACAGUU